rnacentral:lncRNA from 1 species
GAGGGCUUUAUCAUAGGUCUUCUCAGGUCCACGCAGGUGCAUGAUGGUCCUAACACACAAUAUGGGAAAGGCUUGUUUCUCAACCCAACUACAUGGGGAUGACUUUGUCAACACAAAGUAAAGAUUGUUACCAAAUUGAGAGGUACAAACAUCUAAAGAAUUAUAUUGAAAAGUCAUAAAUUGAAAUCAAAGUUAGAAAGGAGAUAAUUAUGUAAUACCUUCACCCAUAAGUCAUAAACAUCUUUAUCUGUCAUCACAAAUUUUUCUCUAUCAUUCCACCCAUAUCCUGAGUAGUUUGGUCCUAACAUUUUUGCAAUUGCAUUGUAUUGCUUUUUCAGUAACUUCACAUGAUUCUCAAUAUGUGGAGUUCCUCUUAGUCUGCAACCAGGAAGCUUUCUCUCCAUCAUUUUUUUCCAAUGCUGGUGAAAUCUUGGUCUGAAUGUAAAUUAUAAAUGUAAUAUUCUACUCUAUAUUUUAUAUUAUACAUGUAAUAUGAAUCAUUUUGAUUUCGAUGCAGAUACGAAGUCAAAUAAAUAUGGUCAGUCGUAACAUAAAAUAGAUGGGGCACACUACAGGAUCAAGAAGCUUUGCAUAGAU